AAGUGACUGCGGCGUCGUCAUGACAACCGCCGGCUGCUUUCCGCGUCCCUGCCCCUUCUCUGACUUGUGAACUCCUCGCUGAGGGUGUUAACUCGUCCCUCCCGGAAAGCUCCGUCCGUCUCCUAGGUUACAGGCCAGCCCGGGGGCGGGCCUAAAAGGCCUUUUUGGUCCCUUCUCUGACUUGUGAACUCCUCGCUGAGGGUGUUAACUCGUCCCUCUCUGAAAGCUCCGUCCGUCUCCUAGGUUACAGGCCAGCCCGGGGGCGGGCCUAAAAGGCCUUUUUGGUCCCUUUCCCCCUCCUCCUAGACUAGGUGUAACUUCGAGCGCUCUUCGCGCAUCAUUAAUUAUUAUUCAUGAAGCUACAGAUUCCCGGCGCUCAAAAGAUGCGGGCGUUCGCCCUCCCUGUGUUGCCGCGUAGGUGUCCUACGCAGAGCAUUCUGGGAAAUGUAGUCCUUGAUC
rnacentral:lncRNA from 1 species